rnacentral:rRNA from 1 species
CCUGAGAAACCCAAAAGAUCGAAUGGGGAGAUUCAUCGUCAGCUCAUUUUGUAUAUGUAUAAGUUAUGAUGCGGGUUACUACUUGUAGUAUUGCCUGCACAUUCUUGUAUAUUUAGUUGCAAGAUGUUGUCGGCGUGCACUUCUCCCCUAGUAGGACGUCGCGACCUGUUGGGUGUCGGUCUACGGCCCAAGUGAUAGCCUUUAAUGUAAUUCAAAAAAACAUUGAAGAUCCUUGGUGUUUUCUGACCGGCUACUUGGCAGUAUUCGUACGGUAUUUAGCCGCUAAAUUUAUUGAGCGUCCAUAUCCGUCACAAGCGAGGCUAAUUUACUGAUAGUACGGACCUAGUGCCGUCGUUGGUAUUGGCCAGCUGUUGGUUGAUGGUAUUCUAGGACUGGCUAAAAUUAAUUACCGGUCGGCGAUGCUACUGCUUUGGGUACUUUCAG